rnacentral:rRNA from 1 species
UCAUUAACGAGUAAGAGGGCCUCGCGCCCCGGGGGGCUUCGGCCCCCAACUCUCAACCCUGUGCGUACCUACCUUUUGUUGCUUUGGCGGGCCUCGGUUAACGCCGACGCCGGCCCGGGGGUCGGCCCGGGCCCGCGAGUGCCCGCCGAAGGCCAUAUCAAACUCUGUUUCAUCGGUGUAGUCGGAGCAAAAAUUCAAUAACUAAAACUUUCAACAACGGAUCUCUUGGUUCUGGCAUCGAUGAAGAACGCAGCGAAAUGCGAUAAGUAAUGUGAAUUGCAGAAUUCAGUGAAUCAUCGAAUCUUUGAACGCACAUUGCGCCCCUUGGUAUUCCGAGGGGCAUGCCUGUUCGAGCGUCAUUGCAACCCUCAAGCGUCUGCUUGGUAUUGGGCCUCGUCCCCCGGGGCGUGCCUGAAAGUCAGUGGCGGUCCGGUUGGGACUUCGAGCGCAGUAAUUUUCAUCCCGCUUUGGAAGCUCCCGCUGCGAUCAGCCAGCCAACCCCCAACUAUUUCUAUGGUUGACCUCGGAUCAGGCAGGGAUACCCGCUGAACUUAAGCAUAUCAA